ACAUCGACAUUUCGAACGCACAUUGCGGUCCGUGGAGACACAUCCAGGACCACUCCUGUCUGAGGGCC
rnacentral:rRNA from 1 species